GGCUGGAGGGCGGGGCCUCCCCCGCGCUCGGGUCGGCGCGCGCUGACGUACGCACGCACGCGCUCGUGCCUCCUCCUGCGUGGCGCGGCGCGGGCGCCUCCGCAAUGGGGCUGGAGCCGAGAGGUUCCGUUUGGUGGCUUUAAAAUUCUGCUCAGCGCCCAACUUCAAAAAACAGUCAAUGACCCAUCCUUAGUCAUCAGUAAUUAAUAUCUCGACUGGGAUGAGGUGGUUAUCUGCAAGGAGCCUUGCACUUUGGAGACCUCUCCUCAUACCCGGAGCUAUUCUGUCCAGUAAUUCUCUCAGUAACAGGAAGGAAUUUGGAAGUUCAAAUGAGAACACAGCACCCCAUUUGGAAUCAGCUGUCUCUCCAAGAAGUCCUCGGAAAUGGUAUUCAGAGGGAAAUGAUAUAAAGAAAUCACAAUCUGGGCUUCUAGUUGUGCUCAUUGCUUCUCAGUCCACAUUUCUGAGCUUUUCCAAUGAAAGACAUUUUUAGAGUCAAAAUACAUCAUGAGUUUGCAUUGAUACUCUCAGUUCAAAAUCAUGAUUCCAGGCAUCAGCAACCAAAAACAAGGAAAUUACCAAAAAAGACUAGAAUUAAACAAACAACAACAAAAACCACAGGAUUAUGUCGAAAGAACUCAGAAGCCAACUUCAAGAAGUUUUCUUGUGUCAAAGAUGGCACAAUUAGAGCUCUAAAGGGAUAAUAACUAUAAGACUUGAACUGAAACAUUGGCUCUUUGAUCUCAAGCCUGCUAUCUUUCAGACUGGAACUUAUGCCAUCAGCUCUUCUGACUCUCAGGCUUUGGAACUAGGAGUGAAACUACCAUCAGCCCUUCUCCAGCUUGCUGACUGCAGAUCUUGAGACUUCUCAGCCUCCAUGAUCACGUCAAACGAAGUGAGCAUGUGGAGACAACCCCAGAUGUUUGGCUUAAAAAAAGGAAUAGAGAAAUGAAAGAGAGCUGAAGACCAAUACAGAAUCAAGUGCCUCUAAAGAGGAGUAGGGUGCACAGUAAAUUUGGAAAUAUAUGGAGUCUGAAACUAAUGGAAAAGGAACUGCAUAUAACCACUGUACUAAUUGAUAAAGUCAUUCUCCAUAAGGGGACAGGUUAACAAUUCUGAUGCAACUGUACAUAUGUUAAACAACUGAGAAGGCUCUAAAGAAACAGCAUCCCAGUAGCAGUGAGUCCAGAUCUUGGUUUCUAAUACCAUUUCCAAUGGAAGAACUUUUUUCAAGAAAUGGCUAAUUCUAGGACUAGUAAAGAAAUAUACAAGGUGAGCCUGGAACACUUUGAAGUGUGAGAGUGUUUUUGAAGUACAAAAAAUAAAAAACAAAAACAACAAAACAAUGAAACACCACAUUCAUGUAGGUCUGUCAAAGGAGCCAAAUGAAAGACCUCCCAGUGGCCAAAGAUAGACAAAUUUGAGGAAUAAAAUAAAUAAAGUAGUAUAGGGUUAUCACAAGUAUAAAAUAUUUUUGAGUCCAUUUUGGCAAAUAAAUGACUGAAUAAAUAAAUGGGGAGAUGAGACAAAUAUCCCAAAUAUCCCAUGCAGAAGAAUUCCAAAUAAUUUAUAUAGAUCCUCAAAUCUCAAGGAGAGGGAACAUAAAUUUCUACUCCUUAAAUAUGGGCUGUGCUCACUUCUUCUACAUUAUGGAAACAGAAAGCAAAGGGUAACUUCACGGUGAAGAAGCUUGACAAAUACCAUCUCAGCCAAAUAAGCAAGAUCAACAUUGUAAGUAAUAAAUCAUGGUGAUGGUAUGUAGUGUUGGUAUGAUGUGAUGAAAAUGACACUUUACCCCUGUGGUCUUCCUCCAAAAACCCAUAAUCUUCCUCCAAAAACCCUUUUCAUGAGGAAAAUAUCAGACAAAUUCCAUUAAACAGACAACCUACAAAAUACUUUACCAGUAUUCUUCAAAACUGCCAACAUCAUCAAAAACAAAGCAAGUCUGAGAAACUAUCAUAGCCAAGAGGAGCCUAAGAAGACAUGACAACUAAAUGUAAUGUGGUAUCCUGGUUAGGGUCCUGGAACAGAAAAAGAAAGUAGGUAAAAACUAAAAAACUAAGGAAAUCCAAAUAAACCAUGGACUUUAGCUAAUAAUAAUGUAUCAGUAUUGAUUCAUUAAGUGUAACAAUAUCUCAUACAAAGAUAAAUGCUAACAAUAGGGAAAACUGAGUGUGGAGGUAUAUGGGAACUUUCUGUACCAUCUGCUUAAUUUAUCUGUAAAUGUAAAACUUUUUAGAAAAUAAAAUCUAUUAAAAAAAAAAAAAAGGAAUCCUGACACCAAAUGGUAAAUCCCCAAAUAAUCAGUAUCCACUGAGCCUGUCUGAACAAUAGCAGGCAAGUUCUGUUUACUCCUGGUAUCUCAACUUACUAUCUCUUCUCACUGAUAUUCUAGAUAUACAUUUCUGUGGUCUUAUCUGAGUUUUCUGGGUGCUAUUUCCCACUCCAUACCACCUUCUCCUAAUAAAUCCCCUAAGGAGUUGCUGUAUUUUGACUCCACCACAGGCUUGGACUAGUGGCCAGCAAACCUUUCUCUUCAUUUUCCACUGUUCCCUAGAAGAGCUCUGCUUUAGUAAUUGGUGAAAUUUGCACAAUUCCAGCUUCCCUGGUGUCCAUAUGCUUGUUCCUUCCACCUGCACCUUCCUCCUAUAAUUAAUUUUCUCAUUAUUCCUACCAGAAGUCAGUCAGUGGGGAAAAAUAACCUAUCCAGAGCUAGAAUUUUUAUCAUAUAUUUCUGAGAUCCUUUAAAGAAAAAAUAUUCGCGUAUAGCCAGUUUAUUCUACAGCUAUUGAUCAAUAGAGUUUUCUACAACAGUUGAAAACACUGAGAGUUCAUUUGUUAGCUGACUAUCCUACCUAUUGUUGGGCCUGCUAGUAGGAACUCCUACUUACUGUGUUUGCGUGCUCAAAG